rnacentral:rRNA from 1 species
GAUGAACGCUGGCGGCGUGCCUAAUACAUGCAAGUCGAGCGAACGGACGAGAAGCUUGCUUCUCUGAUGUUAGCGGCGGACGGGUGAGUAACACGUGGAUAACCUACCUAUAAGACUGGGAUAACUUCGGGAAACCGGAGCUAAUACCGGAUAAUAUUUUGAACCGCAUGGUUCAAAAGUGAAAGACGGUCUUGCUGUCACUUAUAGAUGGAGCCGAGCUGCAUUAGCUAGUUGGUAAGGUAACGGCUUACCAAGGCAACGAUGCAUAGCCGACCUGAGAGGGUGAUCGGCCACACUGGAACUGAGACACGGUCCAGACUCCUACGGGAGGCAGCAGUAGGGAAUCUUCCGCAAUGGGCGAAAGCCUGACGGAGCAACGCCGCGUGAGUGAUGAAGGUCUUCGGAUCGUAAAACUCUGUUAUUAGGGAAGAACAUAUGUGUAAGUAACUGUGCACAUCUUGACGGUACCUAAUCAGAAAGCCCCGGCUAACUACGUG